AGCCAUUUCUUCCCUAUCUUUCUUGUUCUUGACCUCUCUCAACGUCUCUCUAUAUCUUUCUCAAUUUCUCCUAUACACCUCUCUAGCUCAAUCUCUCUCUCGGUAUACACUCAACACCACCACCAUAAACCACCAUUCCACCACCCCUUGUUGCCGCUGCUUUGAAACUAAAUUAUCUCAGAGAUUCAUAUUCACGGCAUUACAACUCGGUUAUUCUCGCACCUCUUACUCACCAGUCAUGCUUUAAGGUGAGUGUUAUGGCCCCACUUUUACAUAUUUUCGGGGGGAAUACAUGUAGUACUUGUAUAUCUAGUAUAUAUCUAUUUUCUAUAUACUUUGUUUAAACAAACAACACCACCGUUUUUAUGCAAUAUAAAUCACACAAAAAUAGUAUUUAUUCUGCUACUACUUACGGUACGGGGAAUCUAGUUUGAAGGGCCGCAUGGGUUAUUGGAUUUCAGAACAGCUUAAUUGCCAAAAUGAUCUUUCCCUCGGUGUUUCAUGUCUGGCCCUCAUCUGUGCAUGGUAGUAUGUGUACUAAGUAAUAUUUAUCAUACAAAAUACACAAAAAAAUCCUUGUUUUGUGUAAAUACUUUACCAGUUUUAGAAAUAAUUGUUUAAACGCUUACAUGUUAAGUAAACAAAAUCGUUUUAAACCUCAAUAACUUUAUAUGUUAUGUUGUUAAGAUAAUACAACUAAUAAAAAUAACAUAUACGUUCCGACAAAAAUUGUGCUAUGAUUGUAUAGCCGGUUACCAACUUGGUAGUCUAAUUAUACCUCAUACAUGCACAUAUAUAUAAGUUUAUAUGUUUAUACGAGUUAUAGAGCUCGUAUCUUAGGCUCGUUUAUGUGCUUGUACUCAAAUUGUUACCAACUGUUUAAACAAGUAUCGUACUCUUCAGUGUGUAUGCUUAUCAAAUAUACUUUUCAACUAUCUGUUUAUCCGUAUCUGCGGUUGUUAAGUACAACCUUGGUAGAUAACUUUAUCCAUAUAUCUGUAUGUCUAUUUAUCCGUAUAUGUGGUUGUUAAAUACAACCUUGACAGAUAACCUUAUCCGUAUGUUUGUUCAUAUGUUAUCCGUACCAUUCCGUUACUAUAAACUUAACUAGAUGUUUAUUACCUAGAAACCAUAGUUUAUAUGUAUAUAUGUACAAAUUCCUUACUAUAAAUUGGACUAGACUUUUAUUACCUAGCAACCAUGGUUUAUAUUUCUAUCUUUAUCAAACAUUCUUCCAAACACAGUUUUCUUACAAAGGCAAUACUUUUUAGACUUUUUAAAAAGCGGUUAAGCAGAAACCAUGUAACACUCACCAACCUUUGUGUUGACCAUCAAACUUACAUGUAUUCUCAGGGGAUCCUUAGACAAGCUUUCAGAUUGAAGAUUUGUCGUGGAUUCUAGACGACUUAGCUAUCUAGUUUUUGGUUAUCUGCUUACUUUUUUAAGGAAACUACUAUCUAUUAUCACUUGUAAGAACCUUGUAUUCAAACCUUAAUGAUGGAAUAUAAAUGAUGUUUUGUUUAUCGGUGUACUUGUGCUAUAUAUUCAGUUUAUCUGUGAUCCUUGAACUUAGUCGCACUCCCGGCAUGUUUCGCCUUGGCCGAGGGUGUGACAGCAUAAGACAACUUUUGGGUUCUCAAGGACCGCUCACUAUGAAAAAUCCCGAAACUAACAAAGAGUUUAUAGAAGAGUUCGCAAUCGCACAAAUACCACAAUCCUAGAGAUGACGUCACACGAAAAAAAUCAACCGAUGAAGGAUCUUUGGAUAACCUAGCUGCAAUAAUCGCUAAACUUGACACCUUAGAUUGAAGAAUUAAGAAGAUUAAUAAAAACAUUCACACCAUACAAGUUGGCUGUGACAACAACAACGGACCCACCUAACAAGCGACUGUGAUUUAGACGAGAACGGGAACAAAACGCUCAACUAUGCUAUUCGAGUGACGACGAAUAUGAUGACAGUUGGAAGAAACCAAAGAUGAAAUGGAAGCCCUAUCAUGAAUACAAGAAAGAGAGGUCAAAGAAAUAUUGACAACAAGGUCAAGGUUUCAAUCAAAAAGAACAACCUACACAUGAAAAGAAGUUGGGUUUUGAAGCACUAUUAACUUGAUUUGCCAAAGCAACUGAAAAAACGACAUAACAAAACUGAUGUAGCACUAAGAGUCCAAAAAGCUACUCUAAGAAAUCAGUAGGCCUCAAUUUUGAACAUUGAGAAGCAAGUGGGCCAAUUAGCUGAACUCUUACUUGAGCGUUUACCAGGAACCAUUCCGAGCAACACCAAAGUUAACCCAAGAGAUCACGUAUUAGUCAAUACAACUCAAGUAGAUGAAAAGAUUGAACCUUUGGUGCUCAUACACACUACCCAUACAUCUCACAAUCAGCGGCCCGAAGAAGAAGUUGAAAAAGUUGAUGCUUCUGCCUCGAUACCAUGUCGUGGUAAUCACACAACAACGUCGCAACCAUUACAACAGAGCCCCAAACCUCAAGUUUUAAAGCCAUAUCAACCGCCACUAUUGUAACGCCCUGAUUCUCAAAGUAUUAAUUUAUGGUUUUAAAUUUCCAUGAUUUCAAGGUCUACUCGACGAGUUGGUUGCCCUAACUCGUCGAGUAGCAGCGGGUUGGUCCACAUGUUUAAGUGAUCUACUCGCCGAGUCCAAGAAGGGACUCGACGAGUAGGAGCUGGAGGAUGAAACCCUAAUUUUCGAGGUUUUGCACCCUAUUUAAGGGAUCAUAAGCCUCCUUCAUCCCCCUUAUAGCCUCUGGAGAGUUCAACAAACCCUAACCUGUGAGUGUGCUCCAUUAUUGUGUGUUUUAAAGCUUUGGAAGGUGGAUCUUUGUAAGAAGAACUUGGAGAGCUAGUGGCUGGGAGCAAAGAACGUGUGGGCAUCUGAUAUCUACCUCAAUUUGCAUCCCUUGGAAGGUAUCAAGUUGUUAACUUGACCUAGGGAUGAGAUUUAGAACCGGAAAACCGGACCGGAACCGGAACCGUUAGAACCGUAAUAUAUAGAACCGGGUCCGGUUCUGGGUUUAAAAAUUGGCUUUAUCCGGGUUCCGGGUAAUCCGGGUUUGGGUCCAUCGGGUCCGGGUAAACCGGGUCUAAAAACCGGAACCACUUUUAGGGCCGGAACCGGUUUUUGUGAAACGUUUACAAGAUGCAUAUCUUUUUCGUUUCAACUCCAAUUGACAUACGGUUUUUUCCAACAUGUAGUUUAGAGUUUUUACAUGAUUCUAGACUAUAAAUUUGUCAUUUUUAGUUUUAUAUUCAGUGACUUACAGUCCUCAAAAAUCAAGAUAUCAAACUGGAAGUUUUUUGUUUUUUAAUUUUUUUGUAUUCGGUGAAAGUUUUAAAACAUGCAUAUCUAAUUCGUUUGAAGUCGGAUUGACAUGUGGUUUUUUCCAACUACUAUUUUACAGUUUGUACAUGAGUUUAGACUAUAAUUUUGUCAUUUUUGGUUUAACAUUCAUUGAUUUACAGUCCCCCAAAGUCGGAAUAUCAAUACUAAAAAUUUUCAACUUUUCAGCUAUUUGUUUUUGUACUUUGUAUUAUGUGAAAAUAUGAACACAAGCAUAUCUCAUUCGUUUGAAGUCGGAUUGACAUGUGGGUUUUUCCAGAGUGUAUUUUAGAGUUUGUACAUUAUUUUAGACUCUAAUUUUGUUAAUUGUGGUUUCGUAUUCAAUAAGUUACAGUCCCCCAAAGUCAGGAUAUCAAUAUGAAAAUAUUCAAACUUCAACCCACUAAGUAGUAAGUAAUUACCAAAAAAUUCCGGUUUUUUCGGGUUUUCUGGUUCUAAACCCACUUUAUCCAGUUCCAACCUACCCACUUUGAUCUUUCCGGGUUUUCAAGUUCUAGACCCACUUUACCCGGAACCGGUUCCUAUAUACCGGUCCGGUUUCUGGUUCUAUAAAAUCCCGUUAACCGGUUUCAGGUUUUCCGGGUCUGGGUCCAUACGGUCCUGGUCUGGACCCACUUUCAUCCCUACCUUGACCUUAUUUCCUUCUAGAUCUCAUGUGGUUAAAGAUUAGGGCUUUUCUAGCAUAUUAUGAAGCUAUUCUUGGGUAUGAGCUCAAAUCUGAAGUUGUAACUUCAUAUUUGAACUCUUUUUGGUCUUUAAGUCCAUAAAGCUUUCAACUUUAGCAAGUGUGAACCUCUCCUAAAGUGUAAAACUCCAUUACGAGCUUGGUUUUGUCAUUAUAAGACUUUAGAGCCUUGCAUGCACGUAAAGUUUGCAACUUUACGUGAUAAACAUGCCUUGGGAAGCUGGAUCUGCAAUAUGGAACCUUAACAUGACUUAAAAAGCAUCUGAAUGGAUAAUGGACUGAAGGGACUCGGCGAGUUGCAUGGUCAACUCGGCGAGUCCGAUGAAGAUUAUCGUGGACUCGGCGAGUCAGUAGGGUGACUCGGCGAUUCAGUUAGUGUUUCCCGACUUUUGGCACGUAUGAACUCGACAAGUUGCAGGGAAACUUGACGAGUCGGCUAAGGAGUUUACGACCAAGGGUUUUUGACUGGAUGAGUUUUCGGUCAGGUGUUUGCGGAUGAGAGUUUACGGCCGCAAACAUUAGGGAACUCGACGAGUUCACGAGUUAUGCAAGGAACUCGAUGAGUGGCUGGUUGUACUCAACGAGUUGAGGUCAACAUGGACUGUUAACAUUGACCAUUGACUUGGACUUUGACCAAAGGGUUGACUAGUUGACUUCUGGGGCAUAUUGCGAGAUUGAAAAUUUAUGAGUAUGGUUCUAUGGUGAAUAUAGGUGGUUGAGUUUGUGGCGGUGAUCCAAGAGUUUGAGCUCAUCCUUCGAGUCAACGAUUGUGAGGUGAUGUUAUGUUAGUGACCGGUUAGGUCGGUAUCCUGGUUAUAUGAUGGUUGUUGUGUUAGUGAUAUGUUAUAUAUCAGAAUGAUUAUCUGUUAUAUACAUGCCAACGUAUGAUAUUUAUAUGCACAUGAUUGUUUGAUUAGUAUGGGGGUUGGGUUGAGGCGGGUCUUGCUUCGUGCUGUAGGCCAACAUACCCAUGGCAGACCGGAUAGACUGCAGGCCCAGGAGGGCACCUUGUCAGGCCGAAGUCCCGACGAGCGGUCCAGAUAAGCUGGNAGACCGGAUAGACUGCAGGCCCAGGAGGGCACCUUGUCAGGCCGAAGGCCCGACGAGCGGUCCAGAUAAGCUGAAGGCCCGAGAGGGUGGUCCAGACAUGCCGAGGCUCGGAGAGUGGGCCAUAUAGACUGAAGGCCUAGUGCGGGCGGUCCACUUAUAUUGUAGACUUAGAGAGUGGACCAAGUGGACUGAAGGACUGGUGUGGGCGGACCAGUCACACUGUAGACUCGAGAUGCAUGGCUAUUCUGUUGCUUAUAUGUUUAUAUGAUAUGGUUAUCGGUAUGCCUUUGGUAUUUUGGGGGUAACUCACUAAGCUUUCGGGCUUACAGUUUCACUUUAUUGUUUCAGGUUCAUCGGGUGGCCGCGAGAAGGCGAAGGCGUGACCGUACAUUUCCUCGAUUGAUAAUUAUGAUUUCUGGGAACUCUGAUGGUUAAACUAUUUUGAAAACAAAUUGUAAUGACUAAAUGGUUUUAAAUGAUUUAAAAAGUUCUAAAUUGGCUCGAAUUUUAUGGAUAUUACAACUGUCCUAUCCUGGAAUACCGAAACAAUUUCAAUAAGAAUAAGAUCAUAAGAAGUUCAUGAAACAAGUUAAAUCACUUUCGAUAAAUAUGCCAUUUAUAGAUGUCAUUGCUCAAAUGCCUAAAUAUGCAAAAUUUCUCAAGGAUAUCUUAACAAUCGAAAGGAACUAGAGCAAGCAUCAAAGGUUAUUCCUUAAUGAGAAGUGUUCGGUAGCGGUGAUGCAUAAGAUUCUAACCAAGAUGAGAGAUCCAGGCAUGCUUACAGUUCCUUGCGAGUUUGGAAAUUCUAGUAAGACGAACGCACUAGCAGAUUCUAGAGCUAUAAAUUUGAUGUCAUACUCGUUUUACAAGAAGCUUGAUCUCCUAGAAUUGAAGACAAUACGUAAAUUCGUUUUUCCAAUUGAUUUUGUUGUGCUCGAUAUGGAAGAAGACGAUGAUAUUCCAAUGAUUUCUGUAAGGCCAUUCCUAAGCACUGUGAGAACCCUUGUUGACAUUCAUGACUCCAAGCUAACACUAAGAGUGGGGUCCGAUGAAUAACAUUUGGAGUCAAUCAAAUGAUAAUGUCUUCACGAUCAAGCGACGACAAGGUUUUAUUCAUGGAUAGUGCAGAAGAAGAGAUGAGUGAUAGGUCUAGAAUACAAACAGAAGAAAGUGAGGAGAUUGAUGAACUUUUAGAGCUAGAGAGGUUAAUGGAAGACAAAAUACAAAAGUGGGAGCACCGACUACCAUGCUAUGGAAAUACGAAUAUCACAUCAUCACACACUGAUGAAAAGCUGCUCCACCGCACCGUCGCCACUCUACUGCCCAUGCUAUGGUACCGAUAAUUUUCUAAUGCCAAAUUUUCUGAUUUUCCAAGACUGACUCUGAAAAUCUAGAAUCAGGUAAGGUCCAAGAAUCAUAAGAUAAUGGGGAAGAUCAUAAGCAUUGUGCCAAACGAGUUAAAAAAUUAUACUAGAAUGCGAACGAGAAAGGCACUAUAAAAAAUGGUGAGGUAGAAUUUGAAGCACAAUGGUGAACGAAAUGAAAGAAUGAUGAGAGAAAGAGCUCGAGGAAGAAAUCCAAUAUGAAGAAGGCAUACAAAAGGAGAGUUCCCGGUUUUAAAUGGAAAAGGCUUGAAUUGAAGUUAAAUAAGGAUGUACCCCUCCAAUUCACUAAAUUAACUUAAGUAAGAGGUGUUAUCCGACUCAUGACUCCUAAAAAAGAAGCCCUUUGUGGGAGGCAACCUGACAUUUGGUUUGCGUUUUAUUUUUAGUUUUUAGUUUUUGAAUACGUUUUCCGUCUUGAUUAUCAGAUACUACUUUGAUAUGUUUUUCUAGCUUUGAUAUAUUUCAGGAAUAAAGAGAAUGAGACAAAGGAAAGAAAAAAGGCGCAAAACACAAAUAAGUAUGGGGUAUAUGUUCAAUAUGAGUACCGAUGAGUCUACUAAGCUAUCACUGUCACAUAUGGGAAGAAAUUGAUACGAGGGACUAGUUAAGAACUUAUCUAUGACUUAUGAUUCCAUCACGAGCCUGGCUAACUUGUGACGCAACUUAUGAUUCCAUCACGACUGAUUUUCCCAAUAUUUGAGGACCAAAACACGUCAAUCCUAUAUGCUUGUUUUGAUGGUAUAUUACAUCACAAGCUUAUUCUUAGAAGACCGCUACACAUCAAUUCUCAUUGUGCAUUACGAAGAAGCUUUUACCAAGAUUAAUCUUCAUUGGACUUCGAAGACGUGUCGCGCCCAAUUACUCGGCGAAUCACGACAAUGCCCCAGGUAGAUUAUUAUUCCAGCUUUUAAGCUGCCCACCUACUUUUAUGUCAAGAGUCCACUAUUACCAGGAAGGAUGUUCAAUUCUAAUGGUCAUCCAUCCGAUUUAGGUUAUCAUAUCAACCCACGAAAAUCAUUUGAUCUUGCGACUACAUACCCAAGUGGAGUCCGUUCCUUUUAUCCCUCUUUUGUUUUAUAUGCUUUAAUUACUUAUAUAUAUAUAUAUAUAUAUAUAAUGAGGGCAUUAUAUAACUUAAAUAUAGGGUAUAGAGAUUGAAAAUAGAAAAAGUGCAUGCUAGAUUGAAAAUGAAAAGAUUAAAAAAGGGUAUAAAAUAGAAAAUUUUAGAAAAUUAAACAUAUUUUGUUUUGAUAUUAUUGUGUUAAUGCUGAGUUUUCUAUUGUUAUUUGAGAUAAUUUGAUGUGAAUUCUAGGGUUUCGUUUGGCCAAUAUUUUAUAGUGUAUUUGUGGCUUCCCAGUUCUAGUGAAAUAAUAAGACAAAAAUGCAAACUUUAGUAGUUUGAGGGAUAUAAUAUAUUUUAUAUUGUUUACUGAAAUAUACCCAUAAAAAUUUAUUUUAGUCAUUGCAUAUUAGACUAUAUCGUCAAACAAUAAAGGUUGAAGUUAAGUUUUCAAUCUUAAGCAUAUUUUUUGUAGGUUGUUAGUAGAGAAAAAAGUGAGUAUGAAAAAAAAAAGAAAAAGUGAAUACAAACUGGGAAAAAAAAUUGUCAAAUGUUAUUAACUGAAUAGGAGCUUACAAAGUAUGAAGAUCAAGAAGUCAUGCAAAAGUCAAUGUUGCAAUGAUCGAAAAGUUAUAAAUGUCAAGAGCUUUAAAGUUGCAACAUGUUGUAAUUUUUAUUUCAAUGUCAUUUUUUCUUAUGUAUCCUUGGAAACUUAGCAAGAACACCUUAAGGAUAUAGAAUUUUCUAAAGGUGUAUUCGAAGGAAUGCAUAAGUGAAUAUUUUUAAAAUGAGUGUUGUGCAUUUAUGAGGAUUGUGAGUAUUUAACAUUUGGGAAGUAAUUAGGAUUUCAUACACAAAUAUAUGCACUGAGGUUAGACAUAAUUGGUGAGUUCAAAUUGGACUGUUCUGUUUGAUGUUGGUGAUCAAGAUUUUGAUGUGGUGGUAUUGAAAUAAAAAAACAUGAUAUAAUUCUAGUUUGCUUGAGAACAAGCAAAACAUAAAUGUGGGAUAUUUUGAUAUGGUUUUAUUCAAUUAUAUAUUUUAAGCCAUUAUCUUAAUAAAUUAAUCUAAAAUGUUAUAUUUAAAGAUAAAUGAUACUUAAUAUGCUUUGAAAUUGAUAAAUAUAGUUAAAUUCAGAGCUGAGAUGCAAAAGGAAGAGAACGGAGCUAACACGGACGAAAAACGGGCAAAGAACUGAAGGAUGCUGAAAAGCAUGCUCUGGCCUUUAUGAAGCACGACAUGCCCCUAUUUAAAUGAAGAUUUUUGGUUUUCGUUCCUGCGCAAGUUUACAUGUUCGUGCUUUUAGUAGUAUAGACCCAAUACUACCUUCCACACCUACCUGUACCUUCCCCAAAGUUUUAUCUGAUAACUCCGAUUCGUCCCAGAACAACACAUAUCAUGGCGAUCAUUUUAUAGGCCGCUUCCUUAGACUCCCUUAUAGUCCAGCUUCGUGAAUGAGGCAUACUAGAGAUUCGAAUGACUUAGUCUUAUACAUAUAUUAGUUAACUUUUAAUAUUAUAUAUAUAAGGUGCAUUUAAAAACUUUUUUCAAAAAUACUAGGUUUAAUUUACAAAUUUUGAAAUUAAUAAAAGUAAUUCAAUUUACAUUAAACCAAUACUAAUUAAAAAAAAUUAUUUACUAUUAAUCAAUUAAUCAAAUAAAUUUUAAUCCUAAUCCAAUACCCUCAAAUUUCGAAAUUAGGGUUUGGGAUUUACAAAAUUGAUAACUAUCCAAUUUUAAGGCAUUUAAAACUAAUAAUUAUCAAAACAAGGAAAUCCUACCAAAACCCUAGCAAUUUUCGAAAAUCAAAGAAGGAGGUUAGGGUUUCUAAAACCCUUGCCCAAAUCGAAAACCAUGAAGAAGGGUUUUUGAUCUUAUUCAACUUUGUGCAAGAUCACAGAGAACAUAUGCUUUGAUACCACUGAUGAGUUUUAUAUAUAACAAAAAUCAUAGUUUUGGCGGAAAACUUAUAACCCUAAAUUCACAUACACCCUAAAGGAUCUAUGUUUUCAUUAUGAUAUGUAAACAAUAAUUUGAAUUCAAGAACCCUAAAGUAGAUUGCUAAUUUCGAAAUUCGAGAAGGGUUAUUAGAAAACCUAACUUUUAGUUUAUUAUUGUAAAUAAACUUGAAUUCCUUCUUUGUAGAACUUCAGAAAUCCAGCACCAGAAAUCUUGUGCCUAUGAUGGCUCACACCUAAUGUAACGACCCAAAAUUCAAGACCAAAAAUUUCUUUUAAUAAAACAUUACUUUAAGCAAAGACAUCAUUCCAAAACAUAAUUUGAGUAUAAGUUUUCAAAACACAUGUUAAUUAUCAGAGUAAACAUUCCCAGGCUGACUAAUCUAUGGUGUGUGCCAUGCGAUCACCCCGAGCUCCUCCCUCCGCUACCGGAAGUACCUGAAAACAAAACUGAAAACCGUAAGCACGAAGCUUAGUGAGUUCCCCACCUUACCACAUACCAUGCAUAACCACAUACUGCACAUACUGGGCCACGCCCGCUAUCUGGGGCCUCGCCCGCUACAACGGCCCCGCCGCUCCAGGCCCCGCCUGGCUUCGAGCCCCGCUCGGAUACAGAUCUGUUUCACUUAGGCCUCGCCUGUCACAGGGCCCCACCCAUUAACAUAUAAUAGCACAUACAUAUAUCACAUAACAUCACAUAAGCUAAACAUAUACUAACAGCUCUUGCUCUAAGGCCUCGCUUAUCUCCGGGCCCCGCCCGUGUCCUGCUACUGAUGAGUCAUGGAACCUCGUCCAUACUCCUACUGAUAGUGAGAUACGGGCCCGCCCGUCCUCAAACCUUUCCUAACUUGGGCCUCGCCCCUGGACUGUUGCUACUGAGAUGUGGAACACCAUCCACACUCUGCUAUUGGUGAGAUACGGGACCUCGCCCACACUCACCUCCCUACCAGGCACAUACAAGUAUCACACAGACAACAAGUAUAAACUAUCACAUAAACCAUUCCUUGGGCACCCGCCCUCUAUCAUUGGACCUUGUCCGAAUAUCAUACUAGCAUACUGUGCCUAGGGCUAACCCCCAGGUCUUCUACUCAUAACUACAUGGGCCGGCAUUGUGGCCGUAGACCCAUUUAUACAAAGGGAAACUCACCUGUACUGGCUGAACUUGCUGAUGAUCCCACUAGCUGCUGCCUGACCACUCACUGAACUCCGACUCUACUAGCUUCUCGAGCUAUCAAUAUCAAUGCAACACUUAGCAUAAUUGACCCACGGAAGUCAACCAAGUCAACUCUAGUCCAAGUCAAAGUCCUGGUAAAAGUCAACCUUACUCGCCGAGUCCACCUACUGACUCGCCGAGUUCUUAUGCUCAAAGUCCUUCUAAUCGCGACUUGACUCGCCGAGUCAGCCCCUGACUCGCCGAGUCUACUGAUUCCCGAAUCCUGUCCUGAUCAACUCACUGAGUCCUGGCUCGACUCGCUGACUCGAGUCUUAACUCGAAGGGUUUGGGACCACGCGACCUGACUCGUCGAGUCUAAGAACAGACUCGCCGAGCACACGACAAACUUCAUCCAACUCGACGAGUUGUUCAUCCAACUCGCCGAGUUCAUGCCCAUCUUCAUCCGACUCGACGAGCUGUUCAUCCCACUCGUCGAGUUCCUCCUCAUCUUCAUGCUACUCGCCGAGUCCACUCAAAGGACUCGCCGAGUCCAUUCAGAUCUCCAAACAUGCAGAGGACUUUUGAGUCAUGCAGGGACUCCAAACCAUAGAUCCAUACUUCCAAAGCUCAAUCCCUACGUAAAGUUGCAAACUUUACGUAUAACUAAAGAGAUCUAGGCUCAAAACAUACUAGGUUUUGGUUUUAGGACAAAAGGGCUUCACCAACUACUCAUCUCCUGAUGUUUUAUGACAUAAUGGACCAUCCCAACAAUAGAUCUGAAGUGGCAACAACAUAUCUAAGGCCCCUAACCCGAUUUGGGUCUCAAUCAACCAUAAAACCCCCCAAAUCUCAUGACAAAAUAGAUCUAGAUGCAAAGAAGGGAAAAUGGCAGCUAAAUACCUCCAAGAUGAACACAAACUGAAGUAGAUCUCGAGCACACACCUCUCCUUUGAAGCAACCUUCUUGAUCUACAAGCUCCUUUCCAAAGUUUCCUUCCUCCCAAGCUAUUUCUCUCAAAUGAUGGAAGCUCACAUGAAAUAUAAGGUUUAAAUCUCUGGGAUGAUAUGGGGGCUGAGGGAGGAACAUAACACCCUUUAUAUAGGAUACAACUCCCGGAAUUAGGGUUUUCCUCGCACAGACCAGACUCGCCGAGUCACCUUGGCCGACUCGCCGAGUCGGUCAUUUACUCCUCGACCCGGAUCCCGCUCUGACUCGCCGAGUUCCUCCUUGGACUCGCCGAGUUGCCCCUAAAAAUUAGGGUUUUCUUUCCUUUCUUGGCCUUCAAAACUUUGGGUGUUACACCUAAACACUAGUAGUUGGAGGCUAUUGAAGAAAGAAGGGAGAGGAGGGAAUUUUCAGAAUUCCUCUAAGGAAUGUGAUGAUCGAAAUUAGAGACCCAAUGAGGGUUUAUAUAGGUGACUAGAAGGGACUUGUAUAAGGCAGGUUUCCAUAUAUAUGUCUUAUCACUUCUCUCUCUCUCUCUCUCUCUCUCUCCCCCCAAGUUUCCUUAGAGCCCAAGAUAAGCACUAGAAAGUUUCCAGAACCCCCUUAGAAUUCGUCCAACCCCUAGGGAGGUUCUAGAAUUGAUCAAUGCUUAAUAUUUUAAACAUUUUCACCUUUAGUGUUUCAGGUACUAGCGAGGACCGUGGAAAGGCGCCGGCGUGACCCGUACACACUAGAGAGAGGAUUUGAUUUGGUGAUCUUGGGAUAUACUAUGAUUUGAUAGAUAUUGUUGGAUACUUUUGAGAAUAUUUUUAUAUGAAUUUGGUUGAAGAAAAAAAUGAAAAAUUUGUUUUGAAAAUUACGUUGUUACACAUGCUUCACCUACACCCUCAAGACCGAUACUUUAUGACUCUCUAGGCCAGAAUACACUUAGAUCUAAAGUAGCAACUUCAGAUUUGGGCUCCAACUCGAAAUGAUUCAAGGACAUGGCAUAAAAGCCCCAAAACUCAUAGCCAAGAUAGAUCUAGAUGCAAAGGAGUCCAAGUACUAUUUUAUUACCUCCAAAUGAUCUGAAAUGUCUUCCCAACCCCAAAUCUAUAGCCCCUUCUCGCACCUCCAAGAUCCUUCCUCCUUCUCCAAGCUUUAAUGCACUCUUCAAGGCAAGAAUUAGCCCAAAAAUGGAUAUGGUGGCUAGGGUUUGGUGUUCUAGGUUAGAGAGGCAGUAAAGGAGCCAUAGGGAAGAGAAUGAGACGUUUAAAUAGGCUCCAAGUCCCGGAUUUAGGGUUUUCCUCGUUCAGACCAGACUCGCCGAGUCCCCUUAGCCGACUCGCCGAGUCGGUUACUUAAUCGAUCCCCCGGAUCCCGCUCCGACUCAUCGAGUUCCUCCCUGGACUCGACGAGUCGACCCUUUGACUUAGGGUUUUCUUUCCUUUCUUGGCCUUUCUGAUUUUGGGUGUUACAUCCUUUCUGUCUGGCACCAUACCCCAAAAAUAAACAAAUAACAGAUUUUGGCCCCAACUUGUUCCUCUCAACAUGAGGACGAAGAACAAAACAAGUACAUCCAAAAACUCGUAAGGAAGAGUGGUUUUGUAGGUGACCAUAUAGCUUCUCAAAAGGAGACAUUCCUGAAUUCAAUGAAGUAGGGAUACGAUAAAUCACAUAAACAUCAGUUAGGACUGCUUCUCCCCAAAAGGCACUAGGGACCUGGGAAGACAAGAUCAAUGAGCAGGCAAUCUCAACAAUAUGAAGGUGUUGUCGUUAUGCCACACCAUUUUUCCGAGGAGUGUCAGUACACGAUGACUGGUAUAUGGUACCAUCAGAAGCAAGUAACCGAGUAUAAUCAUUAGAGGUAUAUUCACCCACUAAGUCACACCUGAAGCACUUAAUCACAGCCGAAUGUUGACUUUUAACAAGAGCUCUAAAAUUGAUGUAAAUACCAAGGAAAUCAAAUCUACGUUUCAUAAGAUAAACCCAUGUAUAUAGAUUAUAAUCAUCUAUAAAAGAUACAUAAUAGGUUGAACCACCAUUUGUGGAUACUGGUGCAGGACCCCACACAUCAUAAUGAAUAAUGUCAAAAGAAGCAGUAGAAUAAGACAUACUUUUAUUGAAAGGUAAAAUAGAGAAUUUUGCCAGUUUACAACCACUACAAUCAGAAAUAGCACAAGUGUUCAAAUGACCCAAACCACCACUAGAUGCUAGAAAACUCAAACGUGAUACAGAAACAUGUCCCAAACGAGAAUGCCAAAGAUAAAACCCAGAUAUCAAAGGACUCGUAAGAAGACAAAUCAAUGCUGGAUGCAACAACAACAUAUACUUUGAGAACCUCUAAGACAUACAGUUCCCCCACCCUAUGGCCGAUCCCAAUCACCAAGUGGGUGUGUUGAUCCUGUAUAACACAAACAAAAUCAGAAAAGAACACCCAGUUACCUGACUUACAUAACUGACUGACUGAGUCAAGAUUCAAAGUAAGUUUGGGAAUGUAAUAAGCAUCAGGGAGAGUGAUAUGAGAAAUAGAGACAAACCCAACACCCUCAACUAGCAUAGAUGUAUCAUUAGCAUACAUAGAAGAAAUAGACGAAAUGUGUGACAAAGAAGUAAAUGAUGACAAAUGAGGAGUCUUGUCAUGAGCUGCACCAGAAUCUAAAACCCACAAAGAUGAGGGAAUACCUGAUGUACCAGAUGAAGUAGGACCAGAAUGAGACAUAGAUGCAGACAUAGCAGUGGUAUUAGAGGCCAAAUAUUGUCUGAAACUCUCAAAAACCAUGGGAUCCAAUGAAGAUGGUGGCAUGUUUCCAAUAGAUUUUGUGUUAACUUGUGGUGUAGCAGCAGCAACAACAAACUGUGGAGGACUAGGAGUCCAUGGAGGAGUACCGGAGGAACAUGGCUGAAACUUCUGUUGACCAGCCCUAUUUUGUUGUCCCUACUGAGGCUGACCAGAUUUACCCUUGUUGACUAACAAUGGACAUUGAGCUUUCCAAUGAUUUUCUUGUUUGUAGAAUGCACACUCAUCAUAAGCAACCCUUGAAGUUUGUCGAGAAUGAUUAGAGGAGACAACAAGCACAAAAAAAAAGUGGAAGUAGGAAUGGAGGUUGCUUUAAACCCUUUAUCCGCAUGAGACUUGAUACAAGUUUAUUCAGCAAUCAACUCGUAAACAACAGAAUCCACUGAGGGAAUGGGAGAGUGAUGAAUAAUCGUUCCACGUAGGCCUUCAAAAUUAGAACGCAAGGCCAUCAAGAAUUGGAUCAAACAUUGUUCUUCCCUUCUAGCAAUGUAAGGCUCAAAAUCUUUUAACUCUUUAGAUUCGGUAAGAGCCAAUUGAUCCCACAAAUCAGACAUAGCAACAUAAAAAUCUUGAAUGCUCUGGUCAUUUUGUUGAAGAGCACAAAUAUCAUAUUCUAACUGGUACUGUUUAGCAAAGUUGGACUGAGUAUACAGUCUCUCCAAGUGAUUCCAAACUUCCUUUGUUGUGUCAUAUUUAGCUAACUGCAUACCAAUAGACUGAGUAACAGAAUUAUUAAUCCAAUUAAUGACCUUGGAGUUAUCAGUCUCCCAAGCAUCAACCAACAAAUCGAAAUUCUCAGCUUGAUGCACUGAGGGUUUGGCUUUAGUCCCAGUGACAUAGGCACAUAGCCCCACAUAUUCUUCCCACGAAGGAAGUUCUUCAUAACGUAACUCCAAUACAUAUAAUUCUUUCCAUCUAGACGAAUACAUAUUGACUGAAGGGAAUCAUCCUUUCCAGUCAUGUUGACAAUGAAUAAAUAACCACAAUAAUAGUAUAAAAUAUGAGAAUGAGAUAAGUAACAAACCAACGGAAGCAAUCAAUCGAACAACAAGAAUUCGAACAACAACAACAAACAAAUACCGUCAAACAAAUGAAUAUCACCAACAAAGAAACAUCAACAGUUUGAAUGAAACGGCUAUCAAGACUGCCACAUAUGACUGCUACAAAGUCUUCUAACAACGUAUCAAACAUCCGCUUUGAUACCAUGAUAACAUUGCCAUAUUAUUAUUGAUAGAGAGAAAUUACAAGGUUCUUAAUGAAAAACAUAAAGGAUACAAAGAAUAAAGCAGAUAUAAAUAUUAGCUAGACAAAACCUUAAUGGGCUAAAGACUAGAGGGCCAAUAAACAAAUGAGCUAAUAAUAUAUAGGCUAACAAGAAUGAAUUGGUUGAUUUAUUAUGCACAUUAGUGAGUGACAUGAAUAGCCAAGGAAUACAAGUAACAUGGGUUCAACUAGAAAUGUUUAUAGGGAAAAUACAAUUGUAAAAGGCUAAGUAAUUACAGGGGAAAUAAUCUAAUUAUAUAAAAGAUUAUAUACAUAUCUUAUUCCUUAAUACUUUACACAUUAAUCCUUUAUUAUCCUAGCUUGUCAAUAAUUGAUGGUGUGGGAUUUGUCAGAUUUCUCUGUUGGUACUUUAAGGGAAGUAAUUGAUGAUCACAUAUUGGAGUCUUCUGGUUUGAUUACGUGAUUGAUUUGUUUUAGUUCUUAUAAAGGUGAACACUUUGACUUGGCACAUUGCUUUGGAUAUGAUACAUUGAUACCUACAAGAAAGAAUUUGGAUGUGAGGGGAUUAAUGUGCCCUCUAUUAUUUGUUCGGCUAUGAUGGGUUGAAUCUCUAAAUCAGUUACUUGUCGAAUGAUUGAUGAUUGUUAAUAUUUGGAAUAAAGUUUGCACUUGGUUCUGGAUUUCGAUCAACCAUGUUUGGAUGACUGGAGGGAGAUUAACUAGCUUUGAACAUGUGCAUCUUCCUAAAAUGGC
rnacentral:lncRNA from 1 species